GAUGAACGCUGGCGGCGUGCCUAAUACAUGCAAGUCGAGCGAACAGACGAGGAGCUUGCUCCUCUGACGUUAGCGGCGGACGGGUGAGUAACACGUGGAUAACCUACCUAUAAGACUGGGAUAACUUCGGGAAACCGGAGCUAAUACCGGAUAAUAUAUUGAACCGCAUGGUUCAAUAGUGAAAGACGGUUUUGCUGUCACUUACAGAUGGAUCCGCGCCGCAUUAGCUAGUUGGUAAGGUAACGGCUUACCGAGGCAACGAUGCGUAGCCGACCUGAGAGGGUGAUCGGCCACACUGGAACUGAGACACGGUCCAGACUCCUACGGGAGGCAGCAGUAGGGAAUCUUCCGCAAUGGGCGAAAGCCUGACGGAGCAGCGCCGCGUGAGUGAUGAAGGUCUUCGGAUCGUAAAACUCUGUUAUUAGGGAAGAACAAAUGUGUAAGUAACUAUGCACGUCUUGACGGUACCUAAUCAGAAAGCCACGGCUAACUACGUG
rnacentral:rRNA from 1 species